CUGAAGCCCACCUGUGAGCUGGUCCAGGAAAUGAUGGACUCUGAUUUCCACACCCCUUUCCUGUGAACUUGUCUCCAAUUUAGUCUGUCAAGGUCCCUUUCUUGUGAGUUAAUUUCUCCCUAGUGCUACUUCUCAGAUUGGCCAGUGACUCACAGAGUGGCACAAGUACAAAUCCAGCCUGCCUUGCAUCCAACACAGAUUCCAGGACCACUGAAACCAGCUGAGGCAUCCUGAAAGCCUAAGAUUGACCACACCAGAGGAACCAGACUGCCCUUCACAAGGAAACCUGGCGUGGAAACACAUUGCUUCCCUAACACUUUCCUGAAGGAGCUUGGACGACUUGACUCAGGCAGGUUGAGAGACCAGAAAGCCAUCCAGAGAGAGCAGGGACCCAGCCAUCCACCACCUGGUUCUACUCCCACCCUAAGUCUUUCCUCUGAUGGAUUACUGAGUGCUUAUUUGAUCCAUGAUUGUCAAUCAUCCAUCCUUGCAACAUUUAACAAAAUACAGACCCACUCUGUUCUCAGAAAGCACCACACAGAGAUUCUGAAGCACUAAUCAGGAUGUAGAAAAACACUCCAGUCACCCUGCAUUGGAAACGGAGAAGUGCUUUCAGAGCCAUACUUCCUGCUGCGAGGUCAUUAGCAGUGCGUCCAUCCACAGCAAAGUGUUUUGCCACAGGAUGGAAAUUAUCUGGUUCCACCCCUGGAUAUGAUCAACCUUCAUAGACUGUGCA
rnacentral:lncRNA from 1 species